CAGUAGCCGCGGGAAUACGAAGGGUGCAAGCGUUAAUCGGAAUUACUGGGCGUAAAGCGUGCGUAGGCGGUUUGUUAAGUCUGCUGUGAAAUCCCCGGGCUCAACCUGGGAAUAGCAGUGGAUACUGGCAAGCUAGAGUGUGUCCGAGGGGGGUAGAAUUCCACGUGUAGCAGUGAAAUGCGUAGAGAUGUGAGGAAUACCGAUGGCGAAGGCAGCCCCCUGGGCCAAUACUGACGCUCAUGCACGAAAGCGUGGGGAGCAAACAGGAUUAGAGACCCCCGUAGUCCCUGUCUCUUAUACC
rnacentral:rRNA from 1 species